AUACGGAGGGAGCUAGCGUUGUUCGGAUUUACUGGGCGUAAAGCGCGCGUAGGCGGAUUGAUUAGUCAGAGGUGAAAUCCCAGGGCUCAACCCUGGAACUGCCUUUGAUACUGUCAGUCUAGAGACCGAGAGAGGUGAGUGGAAUUUCCAGUGUAGAGGUGAAAUUCGUAGAUAUUGGAAAGAACACCAGUGGCGAAGGCGGCUCACUGGCUCGGUACUGACGCUGAGGUGCGAAAGCGUGGGGAGCAAACAGGAUUAGAUACCCCAGUAGUCC
rnacentral:rRNA from 1 species